rnacentral:rRNA from 1 species
AAUUGAUCCUGGCUCAGGACGAACGCUGGCGGCGUGCCUAAUACAUGCAAGUCGAGCGGACAGAAGGGAGCUUGCUCCCGGAUGUUAGCGGCGGACGGGUGAGUAACACGUGGGUAACCUGCCUGUAAGACUGGGAUAACUCCGGGAAACCGGAGCUAAUACCGGAUAGUUCCUUGAACCGCAUGGUUCAAGGAUGAAAGACGGUUUCGGCUGUCACUUACAGAUGGACCCGCGGCGCAUUAGCUAGUUGGUGGGGUAAUGGCUCACCAAGGCGACGAUGCGUAGCCGACCUGAGAGGGUGAUCGGCCACACUGGGACUGAGACACGGCCCAGACUCCUACGGGAGGCAGCAGUAGGGAAUCUUCCGCAAUGGACGAAAGUCUGACGGAGCAACGCCGCGUGAGUGAUGAAGGUUUUCGGAUCGUAAAGCUCUGUUGUUAGGGAAGAACAAGUGCGAGAGUAACUGCUCGCACCUGACGGUACCAACCAGAA